AAGUCGUAACAAGGUUUCCGUAGGUGAACCUGCGGAAGGAUCAUUAACACGUAUCCAACGUUCAUCCCCCCCGUGCACCUUCACUUCUCUUGACUAAGAGUUAAACAACCUUCUUACCAAGAGAGCACCAGGAGUAGCGUACUUUUUUGCUUGUGGCUGUAUGAGAACCGUAUUCUCUUAGCUGCAAGGUAAGGAGUUCGUCGAGCUUUUUUGCUUGUGGCUGUAUGAGACCGUCAUCUCUUGGCUGCAAGGUUAAAAGUUCGUCGACUCGUGGUGCAGCGUACCAUCAGAAGUCGCGAAUUUGACUAAACGGGCCAGGAGCCGGAAACCCGAACAACUGUUAACAAUGGAUAUCUUGGCUCUC
rnacentral:misc_RNA from 1 species